rnacentral:rRNA from 1 species
UACGGAGGGUGCGAGCGUUGUCCGGAAUCACUGGGCGUAAAGGGCGCGUAGGCGGCGCGAGCAGUCGGCGGUGAAAGCCCGGAGCUCAACUCCGGGUCGGCCGUCGAUACUCUCGUGCUUGAGCACUGUAGAGGCAGGUGGAAUUCCGGGUGUAGCGGUGGAAUGCGUAGAGAUCCGGAGGAACACCGACGGCGUAGGCAGCGCCCUGGACGACACCUGACGCUGAGGCACGAAAGCUGGGGGAGCGAACAGG